UAUUAAAAUAUAUAACAUUACCAGAACAAUUCAUAGAUGUUGUCUCAAAGAAGAUCUCUUGUAACCUCAUGAUCGUCUUUGGCAUUUAAUGUGUCUAUAAACACAUUGAAAAGGCAGUUCAAGUGAUCCUGUUUGGCAUCUAUCCGUGGAACCAGUCUUAUGUCAUAUAGUCUUCAUUUUAUUAUUAUAAUCAGAGAAGAUGUUUUAAUAGAAGAUAAAGGGGAAUGUGUUAUAUGUUUAGAAGAGUUAACUCAGGGGGAUACAAUAGCCAGAUUACCUUGCCUCUGUAUAUAUCACAAGAGUUGUAUCGAUGCCUGGUUCAAAGUGAAUCGUUC
rnacentral:lncRNA from 1 species